AGCAGCCGCGGUAAUUCCAGCUCCAAUAGCGUAUAUUAAAGUUGUUGCAGUUAAAAAGCUCGUAGUUGAAUUUCGGGAUCAAUAUAUCGGUCGUGCCUUGGUACGUACUGGUAUCAUUGGUUUCUCCUUUCUGACGAACCAUGAUGUCAUUAAUUUGGUGUUAUGGGAAGUUAGGACUGUUACUUUGAAAAAAUUAGAGUGUUUAAAGCAGGCUUUAGCUUGAAUACAUUAGCAUGGAAUAAUGAAAUAGGACGUUCGAACCUAUUUUGUUGGUUUCUAGGAUCAACGUAAUGAUUAAUAGGGAUAGUUGGGGGCAUUAGUAUUCAAUUGUCAGAGGUGAAAUUCUUGGAUUUAUUGAAGACUAACUACUGCGAAAGCAUUUGCCAAGGAUGUUUUCAUUAAUCAAGAACGAAAGUUAGGGGAUCGAAGACGAUCAGAUACCGUCGUAGUCUUAACCAUAAACUAUGCCGACUAGGGAUCGGAUGAUGUUAAUUUUUUAUGACUCAUUCGGCGCCUUACG
rnacentral:rRNA from 1 species